AUUGAACGCUGGCGGCAUGCUUUACACAUGCAAGUCGAACGGUAACAGGCCUUCGGGUGCUGACUAGUGGCGAACGGGUGCGUAAUGCAUCGGAACGUGCCCAGAGGUGGGGGAUAACGCAGCGAAAGCUGUGCUAAUACCGCAUGUGAUCUGAUGCUGAAAGCGGGGGACCACACAGCAUCGUUUGGCCUUGCGCCUCUGGAUGGGCCGAUGUCGGAUUAGGUAGUUGGUGGGGUAAAGGCCUACCAAGCCGACGAUCCGUAGCUGGUCUGAGAGGAUGAUCAGCCACACUGGAACUGAGACACGGCCCAGACUCCUACGGGAGGCAGCAGUGGGGAAUAUUGGACAAUGGGCGCAAGCCUGAUCCAGCAAUGCCGCGUGCGGGAAGAAGGCCUUCGGGUUGUAAAGCGCUUUUGUUCGGAAAGAAAAGGAUCUGGCUAAUACCUGGGGGUGAUGACGGUACCGAAAGAAUAAGCACCGGCUAACUACGUG
rnacentral:rRNA from 1 species